GUUAAGAAAGAAAAGAUCUAUCGAUCUAGGUAGGUUUGGGACACAUCCGAGGCCUAUUAAUGUUUCAAAAAUGCAUUUGAAAAAUCGUGUCCCCACAAUUUUGUUAACUGCUCCCCUCACAGAGGUUGUGCCAAUAUGCACGAAAAAUAUAAAAAUUCCCUAGUUGCUAUUGUGGAGUUACCAUACUGCCGAAUAGAAUCCCCGUUACUUUGAAUGAGAAGCUCGUGCAGAGAAGUAAAGUGAAAGGAAAAUAAAAGCUAAAAUUUAUAAUAAAACUAAAAACAUAGAUACAUCAUGUCGCAAAAGGAAGUCAAGGAUUCCACAAUAGCAACUAGGGAAUUUUUAUUAUUAUUAUUAUUAUUAUUAUUAUUAUUAUUAUUAUUAUUUUUCUAAAAUCAAUAAAAUGUUAAAUUCUACCAA